rnacentral:sRNA from 1 species
GGACGCUGAGGGUUUGGAACAAAAUAUAAUUAUAAUUAAAGGUUCUGAAGGGCCGAUUAUAUACUUAGCAGUUCACCUGAACUAUCCUCAGGACCCUAUGAUGUUGAAGUGAUCAAACUGAAUAAACAUGGAGAUAAACCAACGUUGACCAGCACAGGAAGCCUGCGUUCCUCUCCUCCCCUCACCCCUCCUUACUUAAUUCUCUUUACAAUCCCGAGUGGUUCAGCCUUUUGUUUUGCAAAUGAAGAAUCUAGAUUGUAAUGGAAUGGGCCCUGAGGGAUACGAUUCUGAAAGUUUCCAAAUACUUUCUCCCUCUCACCCACUCCGCCUCUGUUUCAGGCUAGAAAAAGUUUUCAGUAACAGUUCAACAUGUUAGAAAACAGCAUGGAAUCUACAGCCAAGUGCUACUUAUGAGCAAUAAUUGCUUUUUACCUUUGAUAAAUACAGAGAAGGAAGGCUCUUCAGGUCCUUCAGUUGGUCAGGACUUCAGCAGCACUUCAGGACUGUGACGGGUAUAAGCAGCAUUCAGGGUAGAUGGAAGAGAGUUAGGAAGACAAACUAGGACUGGUUCAGAUAUGAACUGUCAGGACCUGAACGGUGGAAUGUAGGAGGAGCAUAGUAUGGUAGAUUCACAAUAUGGACCCAGGAUCAGAUCUGAAUUCGAGCUUGAAUACUUGGCACUUACCACGUCUUUGUCCUUAGGUAAAUCACCCCCGCUCCCACGCCCCCGCCGCUGCUCUGAGCCUCAUUCAUUCUCUGCUUUGUAAAACAAGGACAGUACCUUCCUCAUAAGGUUGUUAUAAUAAUAAAAUUAAUAUUUACUUUAGUGUCUGGCAUAUAGUAAGAACUAAAUAAAUGUAUAACUAGCAAAAAAAAAAAAAAAAAA